GAUGAACGCUGGCGGCAUGCCUAAUACAUGCAAGUCGAGCGGACAGAUAAGGAGCUUGCUCCUUUGACGUUAGCGGCGGGCGGGUGAGUUACACGAGGCUAACCUACCGAUAAGGCUGAGGUAACGUCGGGGGACCUGAUAUCAUACCCGAUAACAUGUUGAACGGCAGGGUUCAAUGGUGAACAGGGGAUUUGCUGACCCUAGGACGGAUUAGCUAGUCGGUGGGGUAAAGGCCUACCAAGGCGACGAUCCGUAGCAGGUCUGAGAGGGUGAUCAGUCACACUGGAACUGAGACACGGUCCAGACUCCUACGGGAGGCAGCAGUAGGGAAUAUUGCACAAUGGGCGAAAGCCUGAUCGAGCCACGCCGCGUGUGUGAAGAAGGUCUUCGGAUCGUAAAGCACUGUUAGCUGGGAGGAAGGACAGUAUGAUAAUAUCUUCAUGUCUUGACGGUACCUGCACAAUAAGCACCGGCUAACUUCGUG
rnacentral:rRNA from 1 species